UCUAGAUUCUAAGGUGAAAUUUAAAGAAAAAUGACCAAUUUGUAAAGAAGCUAAAGCUUUUCUUUUUUUUUUUCCUUCUCUUUUACAUUGGAAAAAAAUGGAAAAGUAUGGUACCAUUUCUCCAUCUUUCCAUAAUAUUUAUCUAUUAUAAAAUAAUUAAAAUAUUAAUAAAAACCUCAACUUUAUAAUUAACAUCCACAUUUUCCCUCAACAUCCAAGGGCCAUAAUCAUGACAACACUUUCAUGAAUUAAUAAAUAAAAUAAAAAUAAAUAUCUUUGAUCCAAUGGUUAGAAUUUCUUCUUUAUUUCCCAUAGAAUCUAAUAGCCAUAAACAUCGCAACAGUUCUUUUUUUUUCUAUUUAUAAAUUUCAUAAUUAUUCAUUCCAACAAUAAUCCUUUUGCCCUUAAACACUCUAUAAUUCUUCCAUUGAGUAAUUAUCCACUUUUAGUAAAUUACACUUCUUGUUCUUCCCUUUUUUUUCCCACUAAUUCAAUUUUAUCCUUUUGCAUUUUAAAUUUGUAACACCCCUAACCCAUAUCCGUUGCCGGACUAAGGUUAAAGGUAUUAUCAGACAAAUCGAAGCAUUUUGCAAAUAGUUUAAUAACUUCAUCCACAAAUAUAGUCAAACAUCAUUAUAUUAUCCCUUAUAUAGGCCAUCAAGACCUUAAAUCAUGCUUUGGAAAGGGGUCGGGACUAGACCAAACUCAUACAAAAUUUUUCAAAACUUAAACAUUUUACAAAGUUGUAUAGGUCACACGCCCAUGUGAACAAGUCGUGUGCCUCACACGACUUUAGACACGCCCGUGUGUCUAAACCGUGUCAAAACAGGACAUACAUACUGACUUGUCCACACGGCCACAAGACACGCUCGUGUGUGCGACCGUGUGGUCUGCUCAGGCUCAUUUCGAAAUGGCCCUCGAGCAACACGGCUGAGACACACGCCCAUGUCCCUGCUUGUGUAGGCCAAAAAAAGGCCAUUUACAAGGCCAACUUGCCACCAAUUAAGGGUCCUCCCUACAAUUAUCCAAUAGGCACAAAUUGCACAUCAAAUUUCAACCAUUUCACAACCAUUUAUACCAAUUCAUUAUCCACAUAUUUCAUGUUUGAAACACAUAUCAAAUUGUAUCAUUCCAUAAGCCAAAUACCUAAAAACAUAUGAUUUAUAACCUUAAUAUCCAUCAUUCAAUCUCAUGCAAUAAUCUUACCUUUUCUCCAAAUAAGCACAAUUCAAAAACUUACCAAUUUGACCAAUCUCUUUGUCCAUUCAUGAACACAUUAAACAUACCACUAUUGCAUCACAUAACAUUUACCAAAAUCAAGCCAUAAUUUCAACCAUAAUUAAGCCAUAUCAUAUGGUUAAAUAUACACUUCACAAAACAUAUUCAACUACCUCUAGCCUAUACAUGUCAUACUUUAAUAUAUACAUUUUCAAAAGGUACCAAAAUAUAGUUCGAUAGUGUGGUGACGAUCCUCGAUGAUCCCCGAGCUCUCGAUAGCUACGAUAUCUAUAAAACAAUGCAAACACACACAAAGUAAGCUUUCAAAAGCUUAGUAAGCCAUAUACAAAUAAACUUAUCAACUUAAGCAUAUAAACAUCAUAAAAUACAUAUACUUCAUCGCCAAGCUAACAUAUACCACAUAGUUCACAUAUAAUUCACAUAUUUCCAAUUCAUUUGCUCAUAUAACAUAUUUUCUCAUAAUUAUAUCAUAUGUUCACAAAGGUACAUGUGCUUAACUUUCAUUCUUAACAUAGUGUACAAUUCAAACAUACCUGAAUUGAAUACACAUUUCAUAUAAUCAUUCGUAUCUCGAAAUGCCCGUUGAAUCGUUCGGAAUCAUAAGGAUACGCGGAUAACUCGAAAAGCUCAUACAAUGUAAACGUCCCAGACAUGGUCUUACAUGUAAUCAAAUUCAAUGCCACUGUCCCAGACAAGGUCUUACACAAAAUCAAGUACAAUGCCAAUGUCCCAGACAUAGCCUUACACGUAAAUCAUAAGUCGAUGUCAACGUCCUAAACGUGGUCUUACACGAUAACACAUAUCGGAUCCUAUGUCAUGACAUAUGUAUCCUAACUAUUUCUAAGGUUCGUACAGGGCUUUUCGGACAUUGAAACUUUGUCGAUACUUUCUCGAAUGUCUCAUAUUCAAAGCAUAAAGACAUUCAUUAUUGUUCAAUAACAUAUAAGCAUAAAUAAACCAUUUCAAAUACAUUUAUUUGUAUAUAAACUUACCUCGUAUGGAUUCGGAUUGACAGAAUCAGCUACUCGACGACUUUAGACUUUCCUCGAUCUAAUUCUGUUUUCUUUAUUUCUUGAUCUAUAUAAAUUCAAAUUUCACUCUUUUAUUUACCAAAUCAUUCAAAUCAAUCCACAAACACACAUUUAGGGCAUUUUACAUAUUAGCCCUUACAUUUUCACAUUUUAACACUUUAGUCCCUAUUUCACAAAAUCACAAAAUACACAAAAUUUCUUUAUAGUUAGCUGAAUGUUCAUAGUACUCAUACAAGUCCAGAUAUUUCAUUUAUUUCACAUUUUAGUCCCUCAAGUUACAAAUUUCACAAUUUAGCCCAUUUUACUAAAAUUCAUGAAAAAUUCAAAGGCAAAACCUAGUAAUCUAACACAUAUCUUUCAUAUACUAUCAUCAAACUUCACAAAGCUCACAUUAUAAAAAAUGGCAUAACUCAAAAUCAUCAAUAAAAUCAGAAAUUGAGACAUGGGCUUGUUAGGUUACUAAGUAAUGAUCACAAAAACGUAGAAAUUAUCAAAAACGAAUCAAAACACAUAUCUUAAUCAAGCAAAGUCUUUUUUGAACCCUAACUUGUGUUUAUCUUCUUAUUUUAUUUAUGUUUUUUGGCAAAGUGAUGAACAUAUGAAGAAAAAUUAUGUUUUGUUCUAUUAUAAUAGGUUUAUUUACCUAUUUACAAA
rnacentral:lncRNA from 1 species